rnacentral:lncRNA from 1 species
UUCCCCUCUGAGGGUCACAUCCUUCAUUGUACGAGGGGUCUUCAGGAAGCUUCUGGAAAAUGAUAUUAUGGGGAAAAAAACACAUAGAGAUUUCCAUUUUUUUUUCACCAAAAUAAGCUUUCUUUUGGUUCCACUUUGCAGGAACUUUCGGAGGUCCCCUCGCGUAUGGGCCCAGCGUUGUCUUGUGCUGCAGAGAUCUUGUGCUGAGAUUGUUUCAACUCAGUACGGAAGGACUCUGCCCGUGACGGAAAGCAAAAUACAAGUUUGUUUAGAGAUGACAGAUGACACUUUUCCUGUGUGUCUCGGUGGGAAAGGACCUGCAACACUUUGUUCAAUUCCACCUGAAGCCAAAUUGCUAAGCAGUUAA